CUAAACUAAAUUCUAGGUUUUUUGUGGGAGAGGUGAAUGGAACGAUGAAAGAUUCUUCCUGAUAGAUGCUUCCCACUUGUGUGAUUCACUAUCUUGCUAUUUUGAACAGCUCUUCUUUGUCUUUAUUGGUUAAUAAGUGCAUCAACCACCCAACAAAUCUAGCAAAACUUUUUAAGGUAUUCUCUUAGUUGAGUUGCCCAGUCUAGCACUGAUGUCCAUGUCUGAGCACUCUAGAGAGAGAGAAUACACGAGUUCUCCUUUCCGCUUUCCCCUGGGGAUAAAUUGCCACAGCUGCAUAAAAAUAUUCCAGGUUACCAGCUUCUUUUUUGAUUGAAUGAUAGAGGUCCAGCUAUAUACCUGGUAAUACAUGUGAUUCUUCAUAUUUCAGAUCAAAUCUUUGAUGUUUAGCCUUUGAAACAUCACUAAAUUCCUGGAUGACAGAUCAUUCAUUGUUGGCAGAGGAAAUGCCAAUGGUGUUGUGUAAUUUGAAUCUACCACCACCUGCGACGGGCCUUUUUAAAAGAAACUAUUUCUGCUUUAAGAUCUUCCUCUUUUAAUUUAUCUCUCUAUAUUGGGUGUAUCUGCCAUGCAGAUUGAAGUUUUUCAUCUCAAACAAAGAUU
rnacentral:lncRNA from 1 species